ACUUCAAUCCAUGUAUGUUGGUGU
rnacentral:miRNA from 1 species